UUUGGUGUUCACUGGAGCUCUGUUCCCAGUAUUCGUUCAGCUUCAUCCUGGUCAAUGUCGACCGUAACAUACAUCAAUAGUGAAUAAAAAUGUAAAGAUAGAACAAGUGUCGUUAGUGUCUUCUUUUGAUAGUUUGUCGAUAUCUUGUAAAAAGAUGCAGCCUAAUCUUAUUCAUUUAUGCAUAUAUCAAAAUGUAGUAUUCAUCGUGGUGUUAAUGAUUAUUUAAAUACAGCCAGUUUCUGGUGUGGUUCGCCGCACAAGAAAAUAGGCCGUAUUUCACAUCCGACAAUUUCAAUAAUUACCACCUAAUAUAUAGUACAAAAAAUAUAUACUAAAUUAAAAAGAUAAUGAAAAUUCAAGCGUGUUUAUAUAUGUAUAAAGAUGUAGGAAAUAAACAAAGCAUCCACUAACAAAAUUACAAAAAUAUUUAAUGAGUAAUUGAGAUUCGAUAUGAUUAUAAAAAGGGGUUGAUAAUUAAAAAUAAGUAAAUGUAGAUAGGAUAAAUUAUAAUGCAAGUAAAAAUGUAAUGAAACAUCAUCUCUAUGUAGGGAAACUUUUACUAUUCGAACGGCUGGCGCGAUUUCAAGAAUAAAAACGAAAUCAAGAAUAAAAAUAUAUAUAAACAAAUAAAAAAAAUGGAAAGAAGGGACAAAAACAAGAACAGAAUAGAGAACCUAAAAAAUCAACAUAGUAUAAGAUAAGGAUCGAUUAUUGUAAACAUUACCGGGGAAGAACAAUAUUGAUCCUUCGCAGGAAUGACGGGUAACUGGAUCGAAGAGCCGAAAAACAGAUCGAAUAAUCAACUGGACAAACGAAAAUAGAAUAUAACAACGGGUGAACGAUAACUAUUUUACAGAAACAAAAGGAAACAGGGUUGGCCGAUCAAGAGGACGGACGACAUCCAGGAAGAGUGACACAAACCGAAGAGCAUUUGAAGUGGCCGAAGGAAAAAACGCAAGACUGAAUAGAGUUACGGAAAUGACUAGAAUAUCAUUUGACCAGAAAUACUUCCCUUACAGCUAGAAGAAGGAGGUAGUAUGGAAGAGGAACGAGGGAAUGAAAAGGUGGAAGGUUUGGGGAAUGAAAUGGGUGCGACAGGAAGGUAGUCGAAUGAAGGAUGAAAGUAGUCGAUGAGUAGAAGAAGUUAGUGGUUUGUAG
rnacentral:lncRNA from 1 species